rnacentral:lncRNA from 10 species
CGACACCGUCCGGAGAAAGAACUCGGGGUCGGGUCAGAAGGAAGCGAGAGGCUGGAAGCGAAGCGAAGGCACAGACCCGCCGCGCUCGGCGGAGCUUGGGUUUCCUCCCUGGGGGGCGGAAUGAUCUUUAGGGAUUCUGGAAACGAAGGGGACUUCAGGGAACCCCGGCCCCCGCCGCGCCUGCCCCUUCUCCCUUAUUGGGCGUUUUGCCGGGAAGGCUCAUGGACGUCUCACUCGCACGGGUGUUUGGCCGUUUUCUCGCUCUCGUUUUGGGUUUUCUGUUAAACUGCGGUCCCUUUGCCUCGGUCCUGGUGCAGCUGCUGCUUGGGUUUUCCAUCCUCCUGAGACCACCGGUGCAAUUCCCAAUUCCCAUCUCAACGCCACCGCCCACCCGGACGCCGCUGGGCUCAGCCCUGGGCCCGCUCGUCCCGGUAUCUCACGCUCCCUGACCCGGCCUCAAUGUCCUGACCACUCGGUGCAGCCGGAGACGCCGGGGUCCAGCACGUGCUCGGAAGCCUGCUGCUCCCACAGGGUCCCCAGCACAGGGGAGGAAAUGGAAGCUCGGACAGAUGGACUUGCUACUGGGCACGCAGAAGCCGGCUAGCAUUUGCAGACAGCCUGACCUUGGAGCCUGCGCUUGAACACCUUCCUCCACUGCUUCUGAGAACCCAGCAGUUUCCAACGGCAGCCUCCCUUCAGAAGGAAAAUACACUCUUGUCUUCUUUAAUCCCUCC